rnacentral:rRNA from 1 species
GGAUUAGAUACCCGGGUAGUCCACGCCGUAAACAAUGAUAACUAGCUGUCCGGGCGCUUGGUGCUUGGGUGGCGCAGCUAACGCAUUAAGUUAUCCGCCUGGGGAGUACGGCCGCAAGGUUAAAACUCAAAGGAAUUGACGGGGGCCUGCACAAGCGGUGGAGCAUGUGGUUUAAUUCGAAGCAACGCGCAGAACCUUACCAGCGUUUGACAUGGCUAGUAUAGUUUCCAGAGAUGGAUUCUUUCAGUUCGGCUGGCUAGCACACAGGUGCUGCAUGGCUGUCGUCAGCUCGUGUCGUGAGA